rnacentral:rRNA from 1 species
ACAAGCGGAGGAGCAUGUGGUUUAAUUUCGAUGAUACGCGAGGAACCUUACCUGGGCUCGAACGUAAGAUGACUGUAGGUGAAAGCUUACAUCUCUUCGGAGCAUUUUACGAGGUGCUGCAUGGUUGUCGUCAGCUCGUGCCGUGAGGUGUCGGGUUAAGUCCCAUAACGAGCGCAACCCCUACCUUUAGUUGCCAUCAGGUUAAGCUGGGGACUCUAAAGGAACUGCCUACGCAAGUAGUGAGGAAGCGGGGAUGACGUCAAAUCAGCACGGCCCUUACGUCCAGGGCUACACACGUGCUACAAUGGCCGAUACAGAGGGCAGCUACCUGGUGACAGGAUGCAAAUCUCCAAAGUCGGUCUCAGUUCGGAUCGGAGUCUGCAACCCGACUCCGUGAAGUUGGAUUCGCUAGUAAUCGCGCAUCAGCCAUGGCGCGGUGAAUACGUUCCCGGGCCUU